CAGAACGAACGCUGUCGGCAGGCCUAACACAUGCAAGUCGAGCGGCCGUAGCAAUACGGCAGCGGCGGAUGGCCGAGUAACGCGUGGGAACGUGCCCUUUGGUUCGGGAUAACCCAGGGAAACUUGGGCUAAUACCGGAUACGUCCCUUUAUUGGGAGAAAGAUUUAUUGCCGAAGGAUCGGCCCGCGUCCGAUUAGCUAGUUGGUGGGGUAAAGGCUCACCAAGGCGACGAUCGGUAGCUGGUCUGAGAGGAUGAUCAGCCACACUGGGACUGAGACACGGCCCAGACUCCUACGGGAGGCAGCAGUGGG
rnacentral:rRNA from 1 species